rnacentral:rRNA from 1 species
UACGGGGGGGGCAAGCGUUGUUCGGAAUUACUGGGCGUAAAGGGCUCGUAGGCGGCCAACUAAGUCAGACGUGAAAUCCCUCGGCUUAACCGGGGAACUGCGUCUGAUACUGGAUGGCUUGAGUUUGGGAGAGGGAUGCGGAAUUCCAGGUGUAGCGGUGAAAUGCGUAGAUAUCAGGAGGAACACCAGCGGCGAAGGCGGCGCUCUGGGCCGGAACUGACGCUGAGGAGCGAAAGCGUGGGUAGCAAACAGG